ACUGCAGUGCCAGCACUUCUUAC
rnacentral:miRNA from 1 species